rnacentral:tRNA from 1 species
GGGGUUGUGGCUCAGUGGCAGAGCACUUGCCUAGCAUGUGUGAGAUCCUGGGUUCAAUCCUCAGCACCA